rnacentral:rRNA from 4 species
AUAAGCAAUUAUACAGCGAAACUGCGAAUGGCUCAUUAUAUAAGUUAUCGUUUAUUUGAUAGUACCUUACUACUUGGAUAACCGUGGUAAUUCUAGAGCUAAUACAUGCUAAAAAUCCCGACUUCGGUAGGGAUGUAUUUAUUAGAUUAAAAACCAAUGCCCUCCGGGGCUCCUUGGUGAUUCAUGAUAACUCCUCGAAUCGCAUGGCCUUGCGCCGGCGAUGGUUCAUUCAAAUUUCUUCCCUAUCAACUUUCGAUGUUUGGGUCUUGGCCAAACAUGGUUGCAACGGGUAACGGAGGGUUAGGGCUCGACCCCGGAGAAGGAGCCUGAGAAACGGCUACUACAUCCAAGGAAGGCAGCAGGCGCGCAAAUUACCCAAUCCCGACACGGGGAGGUAGUGACAAUAAAUACUGAUACAGGGCUCUUUUGGGUCUUGUAAUUGGAAUGAGUACAAUUUAAAUCCCUUAACGAGGAACAAUUGGAGGGCAAGUCUGGUGCCAGCAGCCGCGGUAAUUCCAGCU